AGAAGACAUCUGAAGGAGAUUAAAGAUUUAUCGGUGAUGGAUGGGGAUGCGUCUGAUUAGCUUGUUGGCGGGGUAACGGCCCACCAAGGCUACGAUCAGUAGGGGUUCUGAGAGGAAGGUCCCCCACAUUGGAACUGAGACACGGUCCAAACUCCUACGGGAGGCAGCAGUGAGGAAUAUUGGUCAAUGGACGAGAGUCUGAACCAGCCAAGUAGCGUGCAGGAUGACGGCCCUAUGGGUUGUAAACUGCUUUUAUAAGGGAAUAAAGUGAGCCUCGUGAGGCUUUUUGCAUGUACCUUAUGAAUAAGGACCGGCUAAUUCCGUGCCAGCAGCCGCGGUAAUACGGAAGGUCCGGGCGUUAUCCGGAUUUAUUGGGUUUAAAGGGAGCGUAGGCCGGAGAUUAAGCGUGUUGUGAAAUGUAGACGCUCAACGUCUGCACUGCAGCGCGAACUGGUUUCCUUGAGUACGCACAAAGUGGGCGGAAUUCGUGGUGUAGCGGUGAAAUGCUUAGAUAUCACGAAGAACUCCGAUUGCGAAGGCAGCUCACUGGAGCGCAACUGACGCUGAAGCUCGAAAGUGCGGGUAUCGAACAGGAUUAGAUACCCUGGUAGUCCGCACGGUAAACG
rnacentral:rRNA from 1 species